rnacentral:rRNA from 1 species
AGUUCGGAUUGUAGUCUGNAACCCGACUACAUGAAGCUGGAAUCGCUAGUAAUCGCGGAUCAGAAUGCCGCGGUGAAUACGUUCCCGGGUCUUGUACACACCGCCCGUCACACCAUGGGAGUCGGAAAUGCCCGAAGUCUGUGACCCAACCUUAGGGAGGGAGCAGCCGAAGGCAGGUCGGAUGACUGGGGUGAAGUCGUAACAAGGUAUC